UACGGGGGGGCAAGCGUUGUUCGGAAUUACUGGGCGUAAAGGGCUAGUAGGCGGCCGACUAAGUCGGAUGUGAAAUCCCCAGGCUCAACUUGGGAACUGCAUCCGAUACUGGUUGGCUUGAAUCCGGGAGAGGGAUGCAGAAUUCCAGGUGCAGCGGUGAAAUGCGUAGAUAUCUGGAGGAAUACCGGUGGCGAAGGCGGCAUCCUGGACCGGCAUUGACGCUGAUCAGCGAAAGCCAGGGGAGCAAACGGG
rnacentral:rRNA from 1 species